GCCCUGUCCCAGCCUUGCGGGGUGUGGCCAGCGCGCAGGUGGGAACCCAGGCGGGCGAGAAUUUUUUUUCAAAAGUGGUCUUCAUUUCUGCAAUGGGGUAGUAAUGCUGGAACCAGAAGGCCCGUUCAAAAUGACCGAGCAAACACCUGCCCUCGCUGACCUCUAAAGGUUAACACAUACUAAAGAACAAUGCUGUGUGAGGAGCAGAGGAACUGUGGGAAACUCUGCUGUCUGAAAUGAAAGCUAGGCACUCUCCAGUAACAGCUGGUGGAUUCCUGACUUCCGCCCAGGGGAGGCCUGUUCACGCUGAGAGAGCUCUUCCCCAAGGGAGGAAUCACCUGCUUUGAUUCUUGCUGUCGUCCUCUUCUGAGCUAGUUCGGUCAUCCACUCUGUAUAAACUUGUGUGUCCACAUGAAGACAAAAAAAGAGAGUUGAAUUGAUAGAUGGUGUGGGAGCCUCCCAAGGCUCUCAUAGUUGCAAUGACUAUGGAAGACAGGAGAACACUGGCUAUAAUCUUUAUUUUCAGCACUAAGUGUCUGGGCCUAUCACUAAAAAUCUUCUUCAUUGCUUCCAACCAAUCGAUACUACGGUUAAAAGGUCUUUUUCCUUAAACCCGAUGGGUGUAAAAAUAAAAAGUAACAGCAUUUCUCUAGA